rnacentral:rRNA from 1 species
AUUGAACGCUGGCGGCAGGCUUAACACAUGCAAGUCGAACGAGUGGCGGACGGGUUAGUAAUGUCUCGGAACGUGCCGAGUAGUGGGGGAUAACUGUGCGAAAGGGCAGCUAAUACCGCAUAUUAUUCGCUGGGCCCAUGUCGGAUUAGCUGGUAGGCGGGGGAAAGGCUCACCUAGGCGACGCUCCGUAGCUGGUCUGAGAGGAUGACCAGCCACACUGGAACUGAGACACGGUCCAGCCUCCUACGGGAGGCAGCAGUGGGGAAUAUUGGACAAUGGGCGCAAGCCUGAUGCAGCCAUGCCGCGUGUAUGAAGAAGGCCUUCGGGUUGUAAAGUACUUUGAGCAGGGAGGCGGUACCCGCAGAAGAAGCACCGGCUAACUACGUGCCAGCAGCCGCGGUAAUAC